CAGGACGGAGGAGUCGCCCUUUCGGCGUCUUCAUGACGACGUUUGCAUUGGCUCCGGUAGGGCGGGGAAGAGAAGGGACGCGCCUCUGUUGUUGGCCGGGUGCCGCAGGCCUUGCUCCUGGGCCAGUGGAGAGACUUGCCGCCUGACUCUGCUGAGCAAGUUUACUUAGGAGUCAUGCCCAUUGGCUUCAGUCUUGGGAUUGUAGAAGCAUAGUAGGGCUGUCGGAGCAAACACGAAGAGAAGGGGCACUAUAAGAUCUGCUGGUCUCUGCAGAGACAGGAUGAUCCCUUCUUUUUUCAGACCAAAACGGCAGCAGCCCAGGAGUGGACAAAUCUGAACCUAACUAUAUUUGCAUGCCACAAUUAUAUGUCAACACCACCGCCCCUGAGUGUAUAAGAAAGAAGAUUCCAAAGCAAAGUCAACCAUGCCAGUCUUGUCUUGAGAAAAGAGCUUCAGUGCAUUAUUGACAAUGAUGCGUGCUUGCUGCAAAUAAACAUAAUAGAACUAUGAGAAACUGGGAGGAAACACUAUUUCAGCAUUCUGAUAUGCUGAUAACAAGAAAGAGAAAUCCAAAAGAGGAAGAUCCCACAUGUAUUAGAAUUAAGCACAAAAUUAGGGAAAGGAAUCUCAGAUUCAAAUGCAUUACACAAAAAAUAUUUGGACACAAAAGCAGCAAAGGAUCCUGCAAGCAAAUCCAAGUCUAAGAAAUGGGAAGAUGUGGGUAAGCCAGUAAAGCUCAAUGGUUACAAACACUGGAUGACCCAUGGUAAGAAACAGGGAACGUGCAUUCAGAUAGUGGACAGACAAAGACAUGAGGUUAAGACUUACAGACACACCGACAAAGAUGCCUGCAAUACUAAAUAUUUUCUUUGUGCCUCACUGAAGGUACAAGUUCUUGUAACCAAGGAGUGGAAGGACAAACCACCUGAUAUGCUUUCUUUCUCCAGUUUUAGUUGUGUGCAUGCAUUCCAAAUUCAGGACUUCAUUGCCCAAGAUGUAAUAUGGUAUUCUUCAAGGAUGGCCACUUCUGUCUGUUAUUAAAGAAUGUCUGUGCCUACCAACAUGCAGUAAAGAACUGCUGUUUCACCCUGCUUCUCUGUUUUUCUUUAAGUAAAAUGGCCUAAAUGAUGCAAUAUACAAGUUUUUUUCUUUCCCAGUUUGUCAAUACAAAUUUUUUUUUGCUCUGUUUCUCUAAGCAAGUGAUUAAAGGAGAGAGUGCAAGGAUGGGAGAAGGGAGUGCAGAGGUGUCAUGGAAGUGUAUUAAGCUUCCCUUUAGCAGGUAAAAGUAUAGUGACAUCACCUUUAAUAAAGAGUGGUGUGUUGAAGGAACCCCAGCUCCCAUUGGAAAGGGGUAGUUUUAAGAUUGAGGCAUACAGGAUGUAGACAGAAGGUUUGAGAUACGUAGAAAAACAGCGAAAAGGUUAAAGAGUCAGUGACUAUUUGUGGUGGUUGAGGAAUAUCUUGGGCAAAUUAAUGGAUUGACUCAUGGGAGGAGGAGGGAAAAGAAUAAUCUUAUUUUCUUAACGCACAAUAACAUGCCCACUAUCCUGUUGAUGAUAUGGGGAAUCUUAGGAGCACAUGCAGAAUGGAAGGCAGGCAUUCUGGAAAAUACUGGCAUCUAGCCCAUCCCCACCAAUGCUUGUACAGUAGGGCCCCGCUUAUACGGCGGGUUCCGUUCCAUACCCCCGCCGCAAAGCGGAAAACGCCAUAAAGCGGAACCCCAUUGACUUUAAUGGGCUGCGUUGCGCAAAAAUGACGCAAAAACGACGCAAAAACGGUGCAAAACGUCGCAAAAGGGAAAAAACCCUUUAAAAUGGAAAACAAAAGCCACCGCAUCAGCGGAACGCCGUAAAACGGGGCCCUACUGUAUCUGUUAUCAGGACCCAGGAGUGGAGAUGGCCUGUCAAUUUCAGAGUUGCUAAGUAAUGCUUCUAGGAGACAACAACUGGAAAAAAAGAUGUCCUCCAUCAGCUACAUGUCGUACAGAGUGCAGCUUGUGAGGAGACACGAUUAAUUAGAUGCACCCAGGGUCCCCAGAAGCAGCAAGUUCAUUUUUGCCAUGAUUCUUCUGUGGACACCAAGAUUUCCUGCACCCCACUAUUUGGUGAAAUGUCCCAAGGCAGCGACAUGAUUCAUGAAGAAGUUUGCAACAUUUUAUUGAUUUCUAUGGUCACUUGGGGGGAGGGAUCACCAUUGCACUUCCAGGUUUUUAUGACAAGUGCCAAGAAAAGAAGACCCACCAAUAAACUGGCUCUUGUCCUGAUUUCAUCAAAAGGGCAAGAAUAUCCCAGAACUAUAACAGACUGGAAGCGGUUCAAUGGACUUAUGGAUGUAACAAAAAUACACACUGCAUUAAGAUUGUUUAUUGUAAUGGUAGAAGCGGCUGAAAUCAUUACUGUUUAUCCUGCAAUUCCUUUGGGAAUCACUGCAGAUCAAGAUUUAGUCCUUUAUGCCCAGGAAUUUCACCAGUGGGCUAUAGCUAAGCAUACAAGAUGGGUAACAAUUAAUGUUAAAGGUUGUAAACAUCAUAAGAAUUUAGGAUUUUUUUGUGAAGAUGAUAGUUUGGAAUCCCAUCAAGAUUGCUUUUCUCUCAGAAUGAUUAAUGUCUCUUAUUGCUCUUUCAUGCUAAGAAAUGAAUCAAGUUCAACUAUUGUAUAUUCUGGACAUGGGUGCAUGUGCCUUAGAACGUUUUGUGAUUAUGUUGUUAUUGAUAAGUAUUACAUACAACCUAUGCUAAGAUAUAUUAAUAGAUGCUUUUGUGGUAUUGAGGAAAUAGUAGGAUGUGAUUUUUCAUUUAAGGUGCCAGUAUGGACCAUUCAGAGAAUAUUAGCUAAUCCAAAUUUGUUUCAAAACCUUUGACCCAUUGCAUUAGGUUAUGGCCUUGCUGAUCUCCAACAGUUACUUUCCCACCCUAUGUUGCAGAGACAAUUAGAAGCAGUGAAACAAUUGGGACAGCAAGCCACACUCCAGAUAACACAUGAACGCCAUGCCAUCACCAAUAUAGCAGCCAAGAUUAAACAGAUACACACAAAUGGUGGAACGCACUGCUUGGCUGGAGUGAAGGAGCCAAAGGAAGUUUAAACCUUUUAAUACAACCCAUUGUGGUGAUUCUAAUGGUUCAAGUAAUUUUGGUCGUCGUCUUAAUGGCCCUGGUAAGAUGGAUCCUGUCCCUAAUGGCACAGUUACACCAGAUGGAAGGAAGCAUGAGAGCCCAAUGGCAAGACCAUGAAGUCUGAGGUGUGAAAAGACAUCUGUAUAAGUAUAUUCAGAUGUUUUUCAACGGGGGGAGUGUUACAACUGCUCAGCUAACCCCAUUUUUGGUUCAAGAGGAACCCAGGAGGUGCAAGGCCCUGAAGCAGAAUUCCCACCCCACACACACCCUUGUAUGGCUAGCUAUGCGUUCCUCAGGUAUGGUGUAACAAGGCCAUCCUGUGUGAAACAAAAAUAACCAAGAGCAAUUGGAAUAAAUGUUAUCUUCUCUUUGGCAGACUUCCCUCACGCACAGCAGAAUCAUCCCAUUGUUCAAAAAGUAGCUUUAGUUUUUCAGUGUCAGCUAGAAACACACACACACAAAAUCACCUCAUACCCAGACCCCUCCUUUGCAGGGGGGCAAGAGAGAAAAAGUGUCUUUUAAAAAAGAGAGGCUUGAGUUGGGGGGUAAUGGUAAUCGGAGCUCCAACACGUGUAACAACGCUCUCAACGCAGGACUGCAGGGAGAGAACCAGGAAGGGAUUUUGUGUCUCGGCACCAGCCUUGAGACAAACAGAAUCCUUCCUGUUUUGGGACCAGAGCUCUUCCACAUCACUUCAGCUGUAUUCAGCUGCCCACUCCUGGGCCUAGGAUAGAUAAUCUCUUCUACCUGUCACUCCUUAUAGUAAUAGGGUCCUUUGAUCUCUUUAGUUUAACGUUAGGAAUGGGUUAGGAUAUUAAUGAUUAAUGCUGCCAUGCACCCAGUAAUUUUCUAAUACUAUUCUUU